GCUGGGCUGAAUGAAGAGCACCGCUGAAGGCAGAGCCUGAUGCACCAUGGGAGCUUGGGGCCUUUUGCUGAGAAGCCAUUGAGAAUGUUGAGACCUCACUAGGACCUUUAAGCUGCAGCCCGGCAUCUGGAAGACAGAGGCAGGAGGAUGAGAAGUUCAAGGCAUCGUCAGCUGCAGUGCAUGUUCAAAGCCAUUCAGGGCCACACGAGAUCCUAAGUAGAAGAAUUUUAUGCAGUGCUUGGAGUUCCGUGAGGGUAAAGACUGCACCCACAGGCUGCCCCUGGAUCCAACCAAUUCUAUCUCAAAUAGCUGGCAUCUGUCACGCAGUGGCAAUGUAUAGGGUUAUGCCAGACUCUGAACAACCCAUCCUGAUGGUUACCUCUAAGAAUGUCUGACUCUUGUCUGCCUGCCCCAGGGCCACACUGUGCAUCGUGGGGACUCAGCAAGACCUCUGGCUUCCACCUAACACAUGCCUUCUCCCAACCUGAGAGUCCUCUGCUGUGGAGGGGAUUCGAGGACCAGCGGACAUCGUAAAAGGUAAGGCUUUUCUCAGAAAAAUCUUGAGAAAAGCAGAAUCGGGCUGAGUCUGAGAAAACACCACAGCAGAGUAGCAGGUGAGGUCUCAGCUUGGCAGGAGUUGAGAAGAUGUCAGAACCAAGAAUUCAUAAUCCAUGGCUGGCAAAACUGCUCAGCAGGUAAAGGUGCCCGCUGUGAAGCCCGAGGACCUGAGUUCAAUUUUGGAGACCCUCAUGGUGGAAGGAGAUGACACCUCUCCAAAGCGGUCCUUUGAUCUCCACAUGCAGGCAUGUGCAUGCACGCUCCCACAAUAAACAACUAAAUGCAACUUAAAUAUGUACAAUCCAGCAUUUCUGCCCCCA
rnacentral:lncRNA from 1 species